UGCUCUGAACCCACCUCCUACUCCCACUGGCACAUCCAUCUAGGCCCAUUCCUGAAGAUCACCACAGCCUCUAAGCUUGGUGCCCUCCACCACAUGGGCCGCUCGAUGUUGCCCUGAUAUUGCCAUUCUUUGCUGCUACAUCUCAGUCCCUGAUCCUGUCUCCUUUCCUAAACCCAUCUGCUGUCUGUUGUCACCAUAGUUUCUUGGUAUCCCAAAGAACUGAGCAAGAUACUCAGAAAUUGAAGUGAAAAUCUGGCACCAUGCACCUCCUGGCUCUUGUCCAAAGUGGCAAUGACUAUGAAAAGCAAACCUUUUGAAUCAUCUCAGGAUAUUGAGGCAACCACAAUAGUUCAAUGAAACACACAAAGGAAGACUUCCAGACCUGGAAAGAAUGAUGGGAUUUCAGCACUCAUAGCUUUGGAACCUUGAAAUUAAAAAAAUCAUCAUAUGAUAUGUACUGUCAAGAUUAUCUGAGUGUUUACCGAAGGAGGAAUUUCAGAUUAUGCAGUCAAAAGUCUCGCUGAUAUUACAGUUGAUCGACUGACUGCUACUCUGUAACUUGAGCCUCA